rnacentral:lncRNA from 1 species
CGGCAUAUGGAGGUUCCCAGGCUAGGGGUUGAAUCGGAGCUGUAGCCACCGGCCUACGCCAGAGCCACAGCAACGCGGGAUCCGAGCUGCGUCUGCAACCUACACCACAGCUCACGGCAACGCCGGAUCGUUAACCCACUGAGCAAGGGCAGGGACCGAACCCGCAACCUCAUGCUUCCUAGUCGGAUUCGUUAACCACUGCGCCACGACGGGAACUCCUGAAAUAUUUUUACAUUUCUUUUUGGUAAGUCUUUGUUUAACUUAGUAAAAUACUGCCAAAUUAUUUUCCAAAAUAUUUCUACCGUUUUUCACUCCCACCAACCCAGUGUGUUACAGAGCUUCUACAGCACAACCAGGACGUGCAAUUGCCAGGUUUUUAACAUUGUAAUUAUUUUGUCUACUCUAAAGAUAAAUGGUUAUGCUUCAUGGUGGCUUUAAUUUGUUUAUCUCUAAUAACUAAUAAUAUUGAACAUCUUUUCAUGUGACAAUUUUCCCAUUCACACUUUUUUUUUUUUUCUUUUUGGCUUCACCUGUGGCAUAUGGAAGUCCCUGGACCAGGGACUGAACCCAUGCCACAGCAGCGACCUAAGGUGCUUCAGUGACAAUGUGGGGUCCUCAACCCACUGAGCCACCAGGGAACUCCUCACUCAUUUUCUUUGGUGAAGUUUCUAUUCACAUCUGAUGCCAAUUUAAAAAAAAUUGUUUUUACAUUUUUGAAUUUUGAGAGCUUUUUAUGUGUUCUAUAUAUAAGCACUUUAUUAGAUAUGUUAUAUACAAAUAUUUUCUACCAUUUUUUGGCAUAUUUUUUCAAAGUACAGAACAAGUCCAGUUCAUCUAAUUUAUCAAUUUUGCAUGUGGUUUGAGUAAAGGAUUAAUUUUUUUCUGCCUAUAGAUAUUUUAUUAUUCCAGCAUCAUUUAUAGAAAAGACUACACUUUUCCCAAAGAAGGAGAUUCACAGCUUUUUAUUUUUAUUUAUUUAUUUAUUUUGUAUUUUGUAUUUUUAGGGCCAUACUCAUGGCAUGUGGAGUUUCCCAGGCUAGGGGUCGAAUUGGAGCUGUAGCCACUGGCCUAUGCCAUAGCCACAGGAAUGCCAGAUCUGAGCCGCAUCUGCAACCUACACCAGAGCUCAAGGCAAUGCUGGAUCCUUAACCCACUGAGCGAAGCCAGGGAUCAAAUCUGCAUCCUCAUGAAUAUUAGAUUUGUUUCCUCUGGACCAUGAUGCUCUGAUUUGCAGCUUAAAAAAAAAAAUUGCUGACAUAUGGGUGUGUCUAAUAUGGACUUUUACCUUGUUCAAUUGAAAUUUUAUUCUAUCUUUUUGCUAAUAUCCCACUAUCUUUAGUAAUCUAUCUUCACAUGAAGCCUUGAAAUCAGGUGCAGAAAAUCCUCCAAGUAGACUCUAUAUUUCCCAGAUUUUUUCGACCGCUCUAGUUUCUUUACUUUUUCAUAUACAUUAUGGAAUUACUUUAACAUUUUUUAAAUUACCAGCCUGGAAUUUUGAUUGCAGUUGGGUCGUGUAUGUGGAUCAGUAUGGAGAGAUUUGACUUCUUCUUUUUUUGCAACUCUGCUGGGGCAGAUCUGACUUCUUAACAAUAUUUAGUUUUCUAAUCUGUGAACAAGGUAUAUAUCACCUUCUCUCUGCCCCUCUCUUCUCCUGCUUUCCUUUCCCCUCUCUUCUUUUCCUUCCCCUCUUUUUUUUUUGCUUCUCUUCCUACUUGUGCUCAUGUCUUUGGUGACCUAAUCAGUGCUCACAGCUUUACCAUGCUCACGCUUAGGAGAUCUGAAUUGGUCAGGGAAGCCUAGAUUUCCAGGAUGAACAAGCAAUUUCAAAUUUCAUUGCCUUCACAUAACCAAGGCUUGUUUCAUGUUUGUGCGGCAGAUUCAAAACACGUCAGCGGGGGCUUUUCCUCACUGUUGACCUUCUGGUUGGGAUCCUUGAGAGGAGUCCCCGUUGUCAUGGCAGCUGAGAAAGGGGAUGUGAACCACACAUUGUUCCCUCUGAAAGGUCUGGCCUGAAAGUGGGAUAGGUGCUGUUUCGGUCCCAUUUUCCCCAGGAGAAACUGAGGUAACAGGAGGCUUAAUUGCAAGGGAAAGCGGGCUGUGAGUCCAGGGGCAUGUUGCUAUCCCUCGUUUAUGAGUGAGCAUUGAGGGGCAUCACAGCCACCUGGCAGUAGCCAAGAGUGUGUGUAAAGGCAGCACAAUCUCUUGUGCAAGUGGCUGGUUCACAAAUGAGGGAACAGUGACCUAGUCCACUGUUUAUUGUUGAAUUACCAUAUGGCAAAUGCACUUUCAUUUAUGCAUGGAAGUGGGUGGGCCCUGAACGCACUUGGUGAGGUUGAAUAUUCAACCCCCAUCUCCCACCCCCCCUGGCUCCCAGAAGGACAAUGCAAACGUCCCUUCUUUAUCUACUACCUAGCUAACUUUCCUUCUUGAGCUCCAAACCUGGCCCAUUUGUAAGAAAACUUAAACUUGCCAGUUAGAAGAGUGACCCACAAUUCUUUUGGUUUAGUGUCCUUUUGGGUUUAAAUGCUUUUCUUUAGGUCAGUACUAAGACUCCGGCAUUCAGGCUGCCCUUCCUCUCCCUCCAGAUGGAGGUCUGUUCCCAGGCAGGGCUGACUGUGCUCAUGUUGCCAAAGGGAGAUGCCUUUGCCUGUUGCUGGAGCUCUUGUGCUGUUCUCUGUGCUGGCUGCCCCUUGCCCUUCUGGUCACUGACCCUCCUGUGAGCACUUGCCUUUAGUUGCUGAGUUCAGGUUGCCCUCAGCAUCCCCAUGCUGCCUGCACGACAGACACCUGGCAGUGACAGCCCUUGAAAGCCCUUCAGCUGGGCAGCUAACCUGACCCACCUGUACACGUCUGCACAGGAUGCUGACAGUCUGGAUGCUUCCCACCCGAUGUGAUGAUUCUGGGGUAACCGGGGGAACUGGAAUAGGAAAUAGAAACAUUCUUGGGAACCCGUGUUUCAGGGUAGAAUGGGUUAAAAGACUCUGAGGGCCUAAUACACUUUUAAAAAGUUUAUUGAGAGAAGCCAGCAAACCUCCCUCCAACCAAAAAGAGUCUAGAAGUAAUAAAGGCCUUUUU